GUUCUUAGUAAUUUUAAUUAUAAUUUGGUUGAAAGAUCACGAAUAGAGGCAAUAUUGUUGAAAUCACAUUUUCUCUAAGUGGUUAUCGAGUCUUUCAUCUUUCUUCCUCAUAUUUAUCUUGCCUUCUGUUUUCCAACUUAUUCUGUCUUCCUAGUAUGUCUAUCACUUAUGUUAUCUUCCAGAGUUCCAGUUCAGAUGGACAUGAUUGAGUGAACCUUAUAUUAUUGAAAGAAAUAGGUCCCCCAUCUUCAAAGAUAUUAGUUUACAAGCAUAAGAUAGAGAAAUUGACUUAGGAUUUUUGCAUGUAUGAUUCUUUUUUGUGGCCUCAUAUAGUACCUACAAGUAAGUAGUCAAGUUGUUAAUUGGACAAACCUUACUGAGACUGCAAGUUUAGACCACAUUUAAGAGUGCAAAUUUCAGCUAUGAAAUAACUAGCCUUCAAAGAAACAUUUGACAGAAAUUGAAGCUACAAGCUAGAUCAUGUGAGAAGAUGAUCUUUGCAGCUAUUUUAGACUUAAAGAAACAGAUUUCUAAAUUUAUCAUAGUGAUGUGACAUAAAGCCAACUUUCUUUGCUCAUAACUUUUUUAUCAAGUAAUACACAUUUAAUCCAGAUUAUGCAACAAUAUACAACUUUAUAGUUGAUUGAACAGUCUCCACUGUCUGUGGUGGGAAAUCAGCAACUAGUUCAGAGGAGUUGCAGAAAAAGCGGAAAGCCACCAAUGUAAAAUUUUCUAGAAUCUCAUAGUCAACAUUCAUGGCUUCAACCAUAAUCAUGACAUAUGCAUCAUGUCAAGUCUAUCAUUACCAGCUUCUAUAAAUCCUCAAGUAUCAUAGCAAAAGCCAAAGCAUCAUAGCAAAAGCCAAAGGUAGUAUCUCCCUUGAAGCUUUUAUACCGGAAAAAACCCAGUAUGACAAUGCCUUCAGGCACCUCAAAAUUUCUAUCAGCUCUUCUGGUUGUGACAAUAUAUGGCUCCUGGGCGUCAGCAGAUUCUUCAAUCCAACAGAAUUUCCUCAAAUGCUUUCACAGAAACGCAGAAUCCAAUACUCCACUUCCCCCGUCAUGUUAUAGCCCGACAAACUCUUCUUUCUCAGCUAUCCUUCAAUCCACAGCUCAGAACCUCAGGUACCUGUUUCCUUCUGUUAAAAAACCUGAACUAAUUAUAAUGCCAACCGACGAAUCCCAUAUCCAAGCCGCUGUUAUAUGUGCUAAAAAGCUUGGGGUUCAGGUGAGAGUUCGUAGUGGAGGCCACGACUAUGAAGCGGCCUCGUAUGCAUCUGAGAUGGAGGAUCCCUUUGUUAUCCUUGACAUGGCCAAACUUCGAAUGGUAACAGUUAGCAUUGAAGAUAAGAGUGCAUGGGUGCAGGCUGGUGCCACCAUAGGCGAGCUUUACUACAGGAUAUCGGUGGAGAGCAAGGUCCAUGGAUUUCCUGCCGGGCUGUGUAACAGCUUGGGUGUGGGAGGGCACAUCACUGGGGGAGCAUAUGGUCCAUUGAUGAGAAAGUAUGGCCUUGGAGCCGACAAUGCCAUUGAUGUUCGGAUGGUCGAUGCCAAUGGUGAGGUGCUUGAUCGUGAGUCUAUGGGGGAGGAUUUGUUUUGGGCCAUUAGAGGGGGUGGGGGUGGGAACUUCGGGAUCAUCUUAGCAUGGAAAAUUCGAUUAGUCGCGGUACCAGAAAAAGUGACAGUUUUCACUGUUGCGAAGACCUUGGAGCAAGGCUUAACAAAGAUCUCAUCUAAAUGGCAACAAGUUGUUGAUAAAUUAGAUGAAAAUCUCUUCAUCAGAGUCAUUAUGCAAAACUCCAAAACCCCAAAGGGUAACAACACUGUCAUAGGUUUGUUCCAGGCCUUGUUCCUUGGACGAGCUGAUCAGCUUCUCAAAGUUAUGCAACGUGAUUUUCCCGAAUUAGGAUUGCAAAAGAAAGAUACUUCUGAGAUUAGUUGGAUAGAAUCAGUUGUUUAUAUUGCUAACUACCCUUCCGGCACGAAACCUGAAAUUCUACUUGAAGCAAAGCCAACAUUCUUAAACUACUUCAAGGCAAAAUCAGACUAUGUUAGGACACCUAUUCCAGAAAGUGGACUUAACGGUUUAUGGAAACGAAUUAUGGAAGAUGAGGGUGCUCUAAUGAUCUGGACCCCUUAUGGUGGGAUGAUGAGUAAGAUACCGGAGUCUCAGAUCCCAUUUCCUCACAGAAACGGGACGAUAUUCAUGAUCCAGUAUGUGGUAUCAUGGCAAGAUGGAGAAACUAGUAAAAGUAGACAUAUGGAAUGGGUUAGGAAGCUAUAUAACUACAUGACGCCUUAUGUGUCAAUGUUUCCUAGGGAAGCGUAUGUGAAUUACAGGGAUCUCGAUUUGGGUAUGAGCAAAGAUGGCAACACUAAUUUUAUACAGGCAAGUGCAUGGGGCGCCAUGUACUAUAAGGACAAUUUCAACAGGCUAGUGAAGAUUAAGACAAAGGUUGACCCAGAGAACUUCUUCAGGAAUGAGCAGAGCAUCCCCCCUCUGCCCGUUAUGGAGAACAAAAUUUGUGUUCAUUGUGAUACAUCUGAUGAUCAGGUGUAUGGAACUCUUUAAUUCAUACGCCGUAGUUUUUGUAGUUUUUACUUGUGUAAUUUUGCGAACAUUAUAUUGUGCAACAUAUGUAUCUUGUUAAAUAUUAUGAAUUUUAAUUCUAAUGUGUGGAAAACUACCCUCUUGUAUUUGACCUAGAGAUGAUCAAGAUUUGGACCUGAUGUGUAGGCUGCCAUUUUCCAGUCCGAAUUGUGGCUGUCCCGAAUGGUUUUCCUCACACCACUUUUUGUCUAAUGCCCUGUUCGGCUCAUACCCAUGGCUGAAUGGCUGUGGACAUAUCUCCAAACCCUGGUCGUUCAGACCCGAUGUACAUUGUGUAUUCCAGGAAAGUAUCAACAGCGCAGGUUUAACGAGGAUCUCAACUAAUAACUGAAUCUUGGCAUCUUCACUUACAGCCUGUUUAUGUGUAUUAUCAUUUAUCAGUGUAGUAUCUGUAGUAUGCAAUAUGCAUACUGUAGAAAAUAAGGAGAUUCUCUGAACUUCUGUAAUUGAUAUUUUGUAGGAUAAGCUGAGUUAUAUAAAUAUUUAUGCUGGUA